rnacentral:rRNA from 1 species
CCUCAGUAACGGCGAGUGAAGCGGCAACAGCUCAAAUUUGAAAUCUGGCCUCCCUCGGGGUCCGAGUUGUAAUUUGUAGAGGAUGUUUCGGGCGCGGUGCCGGUCUAAGUCCCUUGGAACAGGGCGUCAGAGAGGGUGAGAAUCCCGUAUGGGACCGGCGGCCAACCCCACGUGAAACCCCUUCGACGAGUCGAGUUGUUUGGGAAUGCAGCUCAAAAUGGGUGGUAAAUUUCAUCUAAAGCUAAAUACUGGCCGGAGACCGAUAGCGCACAAGUAGAGUGAUCGAAAGAUGAAAAGCACUUUGGAAAGAGAGUCAAAAAGUACGUGAAAUUGUUGAAAGGGAAGCGCUUGCAACCAGACCUGCCCGCCGGCGAUCAGCCUCUAUUCUCAGGGGUGCACUCGUCGGCGAUCAGGCCAGCAUCGGUUCGGGCGGCGGGAUAAAGGCCCUGGGAAUGUAGCUCCCCUCGGGGAGUGUUAUAGCCCUCGGUGCAAUGCCGCCAGCCUGGACCGAGGACCGCGCUUCGGCUAGGAUGCUGGCGUAAUGGUUGUAAGCGACCCGUCUUGAAACACGGACCAAGGAGUAGAAUAUCUAUGCGAGUGUUUGGGCGUCAAACCCAUGCGCGUAAUGAAAGUGAACGGAGGUGAGAACCCUGAAGGGCGCAUCAUCGACCGAUCCUGAUGUCUUCGGAUGGAUUUGAGUACGAGCAUAGCUGUUCUGACCCGAAAGAUGGUGAACUAUGCCUGAAUAGGGUGAAGCCAGAGGAAACUCUGGUGGAGGCUCGCAGCGGUUCUGACGUGCAAAUCGAUCGUCAAAUUUGGGUAUAGGGGCGAAAGACUAAUCGAACCAUCUAGUAGCUGGUUCCUGCCGAAGUUUCCCUCAGGAUAGCAGUAACGUUUUCAGUUUUAUGAGGUAAAGCGAAUGAUUAGAGGCCUUGGGGUUGAAACAACCUUAACCUAUUCUCAAACUUUAAAUAUGUAAGAAGUCCUUGUUACUUAGUUGAACGUGGACAUUCGAAUGUACCGUUACUAGUGGGCCAUUUUUGGUAAGCAGAACUGGCGAUGCGGGAUGAACCGAACGCGAGGUUAAGGUGCCGGAAUGUACGCUCAUCAGACACCACAAAAGGUGUUGAUUCAUCUAGACAGCCGGACGGUGGCCAUGGAAGUCGGAACCCGCUAAGGAGUGUGCGCUGGCCGAUCGAGAUUCGUUACACGCUCCUCAUAUGGCGGUCAACGCCGUAGAGACCGCAAGCCGGUGCUCUAUCGUUCGAAAGUCGUGGAAUCGCCGCCGGCCUCCGGGCGGGCGACGCACCACGAGCCUACCCGCGGUAGGUCUACAGACUAAACCGAACGGGGCUCCCCCGAAGAACCUUUGAGAUAGUCGAGCCCACCUCUCUCGCCGGAGGUGGCCCCGCGGUGUAACAACUCACCGGCCGAAUGAAUCAGCCCUGAAAAUGGAUGGCGCUCAAGCGUGCUACCCAUACCUCGCCGCCAGGGUAGAAACGAUGCCCUGGCGAGUAGGCAGGCGUGGGGGUCCGUGACGAAGCCUUGGGAGUGAUCCCGGGUCGAACGGCCCCUAGUGC